GACGAACGCUGGCGGCAGGCCUAACACAUGCAAGUCGAACGAGUGGCGGACGGGUGAGUAAUGUCUGGGAAACUGCCUGAUGGAGGGGGAUAACUACUGGAAACGGUAGCUAAUACCGCAUACCAUCGGAUGUGCCCCGAUGGGAUUAGCUAGUAGGUGGGGUAAAGGCUCACCUAGGGGACGAUCCCUAGCUGGUCUGAGAGGAGGACCAGCCACACUGGAAUGGAGACACGGUCCAGACUCCUUCGGGAGGCAGCAUUGGGGAAUAUUGGACAAUGGGCGCAAGCCUGAUGCAGCCAUGCCGCGUGUAUGAAGAAGGCCUUCGGGUUGUAAAGUACUUUCAGCGGGGAGGCGUUACCCGCAGAAGAAGCACCGGCUAACUCCGUGCCAGCAGCCGCGGUAAUAC
rnacentral:rRNA from 1 species